GCCGUCCACAGGCUGGCUUACAAGGAUGACAAGCACAACGAGCACCGGGAGAGGAAGAGGGGGUUCCUAUGUUGUGUUUUGCAUCGCCUCCACCAACCCCCUGCGCUUCUUCUUCCACUCCGGCAUAGAGCACAACAUCAGCAUCCCUACAGAUGUGAAGAUGCCCAUCUCCAAUGGUUUCUACCGCCAUAUCUACAACCCCGACUAGAUUUAUCAAUGUAUGGGAUCUCUCCUUAUCCAGCGGUCAGUCCGACAUCUGGCAUAU
rnacentral:rRNA from 1 species